rnacentral:misc_RNA from 1 species
CUCUCACUUAAGGCCAUAGGAUACCCCUUCGCCUAUCACCUUACUAACAUUGAGUUUACGUAGGAAGAAGUCAAAAUAUCAUAAGCAGCAGAAGCAAGCUUACAGACACAAGUGUUUUAGCUCAAAAUUUAUGAAUUUACAGAAAGUUCAAACAGAGACAAUUAUGCCUGUGAGUUGCUUUUAUUUUUUUUUUUUUUUUGGUGGGGCAGAGGGAAUGAUUUACAAUUACACCAAGUAAUCACAUAAGCUAAAACUUUUAUUCAGAAACCAAAAUGAGAGAAUUAGCAACAAAGUAAACAACUUACUAUUUCCAGACAGGAGGUAGCUUCUUUGUUUUCUUG